AAGGGCUUAGCUUAAUAAAAGUAUUUGAUUUGCACUCAGUUGAUAUAAGACAAAGUCUUGCAGUCCUUA
rnacentral:tRNA from 1 species